rnacentral:lncRNA from 1 species
UUCCAAGUUCAAUCAAUUCCUUAACUUUAAGGAAGACUAUGCUCACAUGACUCUUAACACUAAGGUUGAUUGUCAUAAUAUCUCGGUCGUUCUUGUUCUUGCAUUCUUUUCUAUCACCAAUGUCAUAUAAGCUAUCAAGUUCUUGUACUCAUGCCACACUUGUUCACUAAGUGUUCUAUAUUCUAGUUCUCACGUCAAAUGCCACACUUGUUUACUGAGUGU